UUGCUCUUUCGCUCUCUCUCAUUUCAUUUGAUUUAUUAUCCUUACUUCCAAUUAGAUUGUAUUAUAUCGUGUCAUCUUGCAUUCCAACAUCGUAGUUAGUAAAAUAAGUUCUCCUUCUUAGAUCGUUGCUGCCGCUUCGUUUUUUUUCUCAGGAAGCCGGGGGUUCAGGGGGAAGGGGGGGGAGGGCACAGAUCUAUCUAGAUAACUCCAUGACAAAUUUUUGGUGGAGAAUGCGGGCAGUCUGAAGCUUUUAACAUUAGUAGGAAAAAAGGAUUUCUUUAAGCCAGACUGUGAGACUACAAGGGAUUGCUGGUGUUGGUGUGACCUUCAUAGAUUAGAUUACAGCCUGGGCAGUCUGCCAAACUCCAGACACUGUACCGAGUGGUUUCUGUUUGUUUUCUUUUUUUUCUCUUCACCCCCCCCCCUCCUCCCUUUAGCAGUUACCAGCUAUGAGGUUGCUCUUUAUUGUCAGAGCACUGUAUAAGGGAUUAAAAGCAAUCAUGUACCUUGCCAGUUACCGGUCUAUAAUUAACAUCUUGAUUUCUUGCUGUGGAAUUGUGUUCAUAUACAACCAAAUAAGGGCACUGAUAGAGGCACCUGCCUCGUGGCUUUAUGCAAUGUUGUAUAAUUUGAAUUUUGAGACUUUCAAACCAGUUUCCAGGCUUCCCUCCCAGUUUGUCUCACGUUUUUCGAAUACUGAGUCAGUGCCCGUACUUGUGUGUAUGUUAUCAAUAUCCUUGAAUGUAUUCCUCUUCAUUCGUGCUAAGUGGAAGAAGUCUACUCCGAGACCAGAGAAUGAUGACUGGCAAGGAAUAUGUAAAGGUUUAGGAAGAAUCUUAGAAGCGUGGGGACCCGCCAUGCCAUGGGAUUUCACUCUUGAACAUCUGUGGGAUCCCGAGAAACUGAGCCAGCAUUUGAGUCAGGGAUGGUGCGGCUUACAUAGAUCAAAGAAGGUACGGCUUAUCUGGGGCUUGGCUGGUGCCUACUGCGCUCUGUAUAGUACUGUACUGGAGAGAGAGAGUUUCCGAGCGGAGAUGCAAGCCAAAGGGGGAAAUCUUCAAGCCAAACUGGCUCAGUCACAUCAGACACCAGUAACAGUGUCAGUAGCCCCUGUAGAAGGCAAGAAAUGGAAGCGGGUGUCCUCACGUCUAGAGUGAAAAAAAGAAGAAGAAGUGGAGGAGGAGGUAGAGGAAGAUCCAGGCGAGGGGACUUCCUCAGAACCAAGAAAGGCAAAAGCAAAAACUAAGAGGCAUGAAGAGGACAGCAAUGAAGAGGAGAUCUCUAUUCCUGUUCGUUGACCUCUCAAGAUGACUGAAAUCCAAAGCUCAAGAAAGGAAUUUGCAUGACGCCCGAAUGAAACUCUUGUCACCUGGUUGCUUCGCUGUUGGGAUAGUGGGACCAGUAGCUUGUCUCUAGGUGGUAAUGAAGUCCGCCAACUAGGAGACAUUGCCAGAGACAAAUCCAUUGACAGAAGAAUUAGUAGAUGUUUGGAUGGAGCUGCAACCCUCUGGGACCGAAUAUUAAUAGCUGUGAGGGAAAGAUAUCCCUACAAAGAAAUUCUGCAGCCUGCAAUGAAAACGUGGGAUACAAUUGAGAAAGGUAUCCAGUACUUGAGGGAAAUAGCCCUGGUGGAAAUGUUAUAUGACUCUAAUUUUGCUCCUAAUGAUCCACACCAAAACCAUGACAUAAAGUUUCUUGGAUGUUGGUGUUGGGUCCACUCCUUUUCAAUACUAAAUAAGCAUUUUGGAUAAUGGGAUUGAGUGUACCAUCAGCAAGUUUGUAAAUGACACCAAGGCGGGAGUCAAGGCUACUAUACAGAGGGACUUUGACAGGCUGAAAGCCAGCAAGAACUGCAUGAGAUUCAACAAAAAUAAAUUUGAAGUCCUGGGGAUGAAUAAGCAGCUGUAAGGCUGGAAUCUAACAGAGUGGGAGCAGCUCUGCUGAAAAGGCCCUAGGGGUCCUGGGGCUUAGCAAGCAAGUUUUAGAAGCAAGUCCUGUGCUGGGAGAUUCAACUUUAUACAUAUACUUGUUCUUGGUAUACCAAAAAUUGUGUUUGACAUCAACAGCAUUGUUAGCUGUUAGUCAUUCCAGAGAGAGGACAAUGUCAACAAUCCUUUGGGUUAAAUUGCUGUCCUUUCGACAAUAUUGUGCACACAACUGUGCCAUUAAGUCUGGAAACUCAACAGUAAUGCCUUUUGAGAACUGUCUUCUGAAAGAAAA
ensembl:lncRNA